ACUCCUACGGGAGGCAGCAGUGGGGAAUUUUGCGCAAUGGGGGAAACCCUGACGCAGCAACGCCGCGUGAGUGAUGAAGGCCUUUGGGUCGUAAAACUCUGUCAGAGGGGAAGAAAUGAUAUAGUGCUAAUACCACUUUAUCUUGACGGUACCCUCAAAGGAAGCACCGGCUAACUCCGUGCCAGCAGCCGCGGUAAUACGGAGGGUGCGAGCGUUGUUCGGAUUUAUUGGGCGUAAAGCGCGUGUAGGCGGUUUUUUAAGUCUGAUGUGAAAGCCCCGGGCUCAACCUGGGAAGUGCAUUGGAUACUGGGAGACUUGGAUACGGGAGAGGGUAGUGGAAUUCCUAGUGUAGGAGUGAAAUCCGUAGAUAUUAGGAGGAACACCGGUGGCGAAGGCGGCUACCUGGACCGAUAUUGACGCUGAGACGCGAAAGCGUGGGGAGCAAACAGGAUUAGAUACCCUGGUAGUCCACGCCGUAAACGAUGAGUACUAGGUGUUGCGGGUAUUGACCCCUGCAGUGCCGCAGCUAACGCAUUAAGUACUCCGCCUGGGAAGUACGGUCGCAAGACUAAAACUUAAAUGAAUUGACGG
rnacentral:rRNA from 1 species